AAAAAUUCCAGAACUUAGGAAUUCAGUCUUUGAGAAUUAAAAAAAAAAGUGAGGCCUUUUCUUUACUGCUGAAUAUCAGAAUUAGUACUGUUACCGAUCCACUGGCUAUUGCUGGAUUUUCUACUUGGUUUUUAAAUCUAUUCUUGGGUCUUCCUGCACUAGAUUAUCAUUGGGUUACUGCUGGUCUUGUUGCUAUUAUUUGCUGUGGUAUUCUGUUGUUGUUGUUGUGUUGUGCUACUGCUGCACUACUAACUUCUUCCUCUUAUUUGCUUUCCGAAUACCAGGUACAUAGCUCAUACACUGGUUAAUGUAAGCUAAAAAUUGAAGCAUGAAUAAGAAAUGAAGAAUUGAAGUUUUAAAUUCGUUGUAGUUGUC
rnacentral:lncRNA from 1 species